rnacentral:tRNA from 1 species
CGGCACGUAGCUCAACUGGAGGAGCGCCGCCGUCCGAAGGCGGAGGAUGGAGGUUCGACCCCUCUCGUGCCGG